rnacentral:rRNA from 1 species
UACGAAGGGGGCUAGCGUUGCUCGGAAUCACUGGGCGCAAAGGGUGCGUAGGCGGGUCUUUAAGUCAGGGGUGAAAUCCUGGAGCUCAACUCCAGAACUGCCUUUGAUACUGAGGAUCUUGAGUUCGGGAGAGGUGAGUGGAACUGCGAGUGUAGAGGUGAAAUUCGUAGAUAUUAGGAAGAACACCAGUGGCGAAGGCGGCUCACUGGCCCGGUACUGACGCUGAGGCGCGAAAGCGUGGGGAGCAAACAGG